rnacentral:rRNA from 1 species
UGGGGAAUAUUGGACAAUGGGCGCAAGCCUGAUCCAGCCAUGCCGCGUGAGUGAUGAAGGCCCUAGGGUUGUAAAGCUCUUUCACCGGUGAAGAUAAUGACGGUAACCGGAGAAGAAGCCCCGGCUAACUUCGUGCCAGCAGCCGCGGUAAUACGAAGGGGGCUAGCGUUGUUCGGAUUUACUGGGCGUAAAGCGCACGUAGGCGGACUUUUAAGUCAGGGGUGAAAUCCCGGGGCUCAACCCCGGAACUGCCUUUGAUACUGGAAGUCUUGAGUAUGGUAGAGGUGAGUGGAAGUCCGAGUGUAGAGGUGAAAUUCGUAGAUAUUCGGAGGAACACCAGUGGCGAAGGCGGCUCACAGGAGCAUUACUAACGCUGAGGUGCGAAAGCGGGGGGAGCAAACAGG